rnacentral:rRNA from 1 species
GCUGGCGGCUGCCUAACAAUGCAAGUCGAACGAGACCUUCGGGUCUAGUGGCGCACGGGUGCGUAACGCGUGGGAAUCUGCCCUUGGGUCUGGAAUAACAGUUAGAAAUGACUGCUAAUACCGGAUGAUGACUUCGGUCCAAAGAUUUAUCGCCCAGGGAUGAGCCCGCGUCGGAUUAGCUAGUUGGUGGGGUAAAAGCUCACCAAGGCGACGAUCCGUAGCUGGUCUGAGAGGAUGAUCAGCCACACUGGGACUGAGACACGGCCCAGACUCCUACGGGAGGCAGCAGUGGGGAAUAUUGGACAAUGGGCGAAAGCCUGAUCCAGCAAUGCCGCGUGAGUGAUGAAGGCCUUAGGGUUGUAAAGCUCUUUUACCCGGGAUGAUAAUGACAGUACCGGGAGAAUAAGCCCCGGCUAACUCCGUGCCAGCAGCCGCGGUAAUACGGAGGGGGCUAGCGUUGUUCGGAAUUACUGGGCGUAAAGCGCACGUAGGCGGCUUUGUAAGUUAGAGGUGAAAGCCCGGGGCUCAACUCCGGAAUUGCCUUUAAGACUGCAUCGCUAGAAUUGUGGAGAGGUAAGUGGAAUUCCGAGUGUAGAGGUGAAAUUCGUAGAUAUUCGGAAGAACACCAGUGGCGAAGGCGAAUUACUGGACACA